GGUGGCAGCUCCUAGUUGACUUUGGCUGAUGUUGAAAAGCUAAGCAGAGCUGGACCUGGCUAGUAUUUGGAAGGGAGAGCACCCGGGAAUCCCAGGGGCUGCAAGCU
ensembl:rRNA 5S_rRNA 5S ribosomal RNA